UAAUUUUGAAAUGAAUAAGUUAUGAUCGUUUAAAGUGUCAAAAUUAAUUUUUGUCCCUCUCAUUUAUCACUAAUGUCGAGCAUCAUACAUUUUUUUUGGGGUUAAUUGCCCCUAAAUACAGAAAGUUUCACCAAAUUCUGGAAUUGUACACCACCUUUAAAAUCUGCUCUAUAAUACAUCACCUUUACUAAUUUUUUCCCACAAUGACUAUUUUCCCCUAAACGCGAAAUUGACAUGGUAAAAUGAAAUGACGCCGUCCUUACUUAAUGUAAACGACGUCGUUUUAUUGAAAUCUAACCUUAAUUUUACUGAUUUUCUCCAAAUCUAAUGAAUCCAUAAUUUCUCCAAGUCUUCCUCCCCAACUCUUCUCUCUUGUCUCAUCUGAUUCUUUAUGCUCCAACUCCUUUUCCCCAAUUGGCAGCAGCAUUGCGACACAGUUUGAGAGCACGAUGGGAGAUAAGUAUGUACCCAAUAUUUAUGGUUUAUGUUUAGCGAAGGAUUCUGGUGUUUCGAAGGUGUCUGUCCAUUUUUAUGGGUUUACGAGAUUGAUGGAGUUGGUCUUUCGAAAGCUUCAAUUCCUGAAUAAUGUCGAACUCGUCUAGCUGAAGGGAUAUAAUUGGGUUCAGAAGUUGUGUGGGCAUGAUAUUGCAAUGACUGAGGAAACCUCACACGCUCAGAGAAAUUCAGAAAGGAGAUUCUAUUGCUAUUCUCAAAAGAAGUGGGAUGAUUGUGGGUUGUGGCAAUGUGUAGAUCAAGAACUAAGUGCUCACUACAAGUUUUGUUUCAAUAAUAUUAAGAAUGAAAGGGAUAAGUUGGUAUGGCAAGUAAACUGCCGAAGCUUGUUGGAGGACAUGAACAAUGAAAAAAUUUGAGCUAGUUAAAGUUGAGGAACUGGCUGCAUUGAAGCUGAGCUUCGAGGAGACAAAUGACGAGGUUCAAGAUUUGAGGAAACUUAGAAAAGAAUUGGAAUGGAAACUAAAGUGUAUGCAGUUGAUUGUAGUUUUUCGUGUUUUGAUAAAGUGUAUGUAGUAUUGGUGUAGUUGUAGAACCAAUAGGUCAUGUUUGUUAUGUCUUGAUGAUGAGGAGUAAAGAUCUCAUCAGCACAAAACCUACGAAUAUAUAUGAGUUUAUAUGAUUAAACUAACAUCACAAACUUGUAGUGACCACAAGGUAAUACACCAGAGGAGAGCCUGCGCAGCCUCGAAGUAUCCUGCGCUGACUUCCCGAUGAGAGACCAAGCUAUGUUAAGGUGCCGUCUGCGCAGACGGCCACACAACAUUAUCACUAACUGGGGAUCAAAAGGACAACAUCAUGUCACAAGCUCCAAAUACAAAAGAUGAGAAUAAAAGAAGACGACGCCUGCGCAGGAGAAUACGACAUCAGACUGCGCUGUCAUGAAGAGCGUGUAUCAUUUGUAAAGCUGCGAAGUUAGUUAAUAAAGAAUAUUCUUCCGAUAGUGACCUAGGUACGUAUUCUAGCAUGUGGAGUACGUGAAUUAGAGUGGAAAGUCUAAUGUGCCCUUUGCCCUUGUAAAUUCCUAUAAAUACUCUUUGUAACCUUCUUCACAAGGCAAGUUACAUGAAAUAGAAUUAUAGAAGAGUUUUGAGUUCUCUGCAAGUUUUCCCUUUGAUUCUCCGACUACACAGGUGAUUUCCGAAGUCUUUAGUAUUAUUUAGAUUAGGUGUUGGUGUGAGGCUUCACCACUUCAUAUGGUGUAGUUGUAGUUGUAGUAUUAGUGUAGUUGUAGAACUAAUAGGUCAUGUUUGAGAUGUCACCAUCUGUUUUAGUAGAAUGAUAGUGAUGUUUUGUAAGUUUUAUUGGAAAACAUUUGCUGCAUUUAAUGUGUGAUUACAUAAGGCUACAUAGUUGUUAUUUGUUA